UUGAAGAGGUUUGCGUCCUCGCGGCUCC
rnacentral:sRNA from 1 species